UUAUGGCUCAGGAUGAACGCUGGCGGCGUGCUUAACACAUGCAAGUCGAACGGGAUAUACUUUUAGCUUGCUAAGUUGUAUAUCUAGUGGCGGACGGGUGAGUAACGCGUGGGUAACCUGCCGUAUGCUGGGGGACAACAGUUGGAAACGACUGCUAAUACCGCAUAAGCGCACGAGAUCGCAUGAUCUUGUGUGAAAAACUCCGGUGGCAUACGAUGGACCCGCGUCUGAUUAGCCAGUUGGCAGGGUAGCGGCCUACCAAAGCGACGAUCAGUAGCCGGCCUGAGAGGGUGAACGGCCACAUUGGGACUGAGACACGGCCCAGACUCCUACGGGAGGCAGCAGUGGGGAAUAUUGCACAAUGGGGGAAACCCUGAUGCAAGCGACGCCGCGUGAGUGAAGAAGUAUUUCGGUAUGUAAAGCUCUAUCAGCAGGAAAGAAAAUGACGGUACCUGACUAAGAAGCCCCGGCUAACUACGUGCCAGCAGCCGC
rnacentral:rRNA from 1 species